CUGGUACUCCCUCCGUCCGAAAAAGCUUGUCCAUCAAAUGGAUGUAUCUAGAAAUAACUUGGUGCUAGAUACAACCAUUUGAAGGACAAGCUUGGGACAAGCUUUUUUGGACGGAGGGAGUAGUUA
rfam:Triticum urartu cultivar G1812 contig596895, whole genome shotgun sequence.